AAGUCGUAACAAGGUUUCCGUAGGUGAACCUGCGGAAGGAUCAUUAUUGAAUAGCUCGUAGUGUUGUGCUGGCCUUCUCGGAGGCACUGUGCACGCAUUGCAUUCUAUCUAUCCCUCUUUUUGUGAACCAGUGUAGGCUUUUUGGGCUUAGUAGUUUGAGUUGAGAAGGCUUUGGUCUUUUUGCUUGAGCGAAACGUUCAGAAGUCUAUGAUUUUAUAUAACCCUUUGUAUGUCUUCAGAAUGUUACUUUAUUGACGAAAGUCAGUAAAAACCUAUACAACUUUCAGCAACGGAUCUCUUGGCUCUC
rnacentral:misc_RNA from 1 species